rnacentral:rRNA from 1 species
CAGGAGGGGAACUAACCCGGCGAAAGUCGGACUAAUACCGCAUAAAACAGGGGCACCGCAUGGUGAUAUUUGUUAAAGAAAUUCGCUGAUAGAUGGGCAUGCGUUCCAUUAGGUAGUUGGUGAGGUAACGGCUCACCAAGCCGACGAUGGAUAGGGGAACUGAGAGGUUGGUCCCCCCACACUGGUACUGAGACACGGACCAGACUCCUACGGGGAGGCAGCAGUGAGGAAUAUUGGUCAAUGGGCGGGAGCCUGAACCAGCCAAGUCGCGUGGAAAAGGAAGAAGGAUCUAUGGUUACGUAAACUUCUUUUGCGAGGGAAUAAAGUGCAGGACGUGUCCUGUUUUGUAUGUACCCUGAGAAUAAGGAUCGGCUAACUCCGUGCCAGCAGCAGC